ACUGCAGGGGCGGGGCGGGGAGAGCCUGAGUUAGGAAGAGCGUCCUGGGCCGCACCAGCGCCACCUCGGGGCCUGCUCCAGUCUCCUCCCCGGGGUCCUCUGCGCCCUCCCGCCGAGACGCCCGCCCCAGCUCCCCGGUGCACAGCCCCGCCGCAGCCACGCGGCCGCACGGGCGAUUGAACGCGGCCCCGGACCCCACCCAUCGGCGAAGAUCUCCCGCGGCCAGGCACCCUGCGAGGCCAGGCGAGGAGGAGGAAAACCCCGGGAGGAGGAAAGGCAGGCAGAAAGCUGGAGCUCCAAGAGUCACGCAGGUACAAGGACAAAGAAUCGUCAAAUGAGAAUACCAAGAAGAGAUAGACAUCCAUGAUUUAUUGUUAGGAGGAAGAAGCAAGUUGCAGAACAUAUAAUACAGUAUGUUCAGGUUAAACAAGUGUGCAAAUUAAACCUUGUUCAACUUACAA